rnacentral:rRNA from 1 species
CACGUAGGAGGCGAGCGUUGUCCGGAAUCAUUGGGCGUAAAGAGCGCGCAGGCGGCUUGGCAAGUCGGGUGUGAAAUCCCGGGGCUCAACCCCGUGACUGCAUCCGAUACUGUCAGGCUAGAGGUAGGUAGGGGAGAUCGGAAUUCCUGGUGUAGCGGUGAAAUGCGCAGAUAUCAGGAGGAACACCGGUGGCGAAGGCGGAUCUCUGGGCCUUACCUGACGCUCAGGCGCGAAAGCUAGGGGAGCGAAUGGG